UGCCCCUCACUUGCCAAUACGUCUAGAUCAGCCAGGGCGUCGGCAUGUGUAGCGUAUUAUGUUGGGCUCUUUCGAGAUAAGGAUACGAUGUCCCUUUAUCGGUUGGUUUCCUGUGUGUGCGGCCCGUUCGUUUUUUUUGUUACUUUCGCAUCGUUCGGUGCAUUCUGGGGGCUGUGUCGGCUUUUGGUGGCUUGCUUGGCCUUUUGGCUUUGCUUGUUGCUACUUGUCGGGCUGCUUUCGGGAAUGUCGACCGUGGAGGUGCAUGAGUGGUGUUUGGUUUGUUACGUGUGGAUGGCUGUUUGCUUGUGCAACAACGUUCACGCUGCAUACCUCUUCAGUUUUGCGGCAAGGCUUGGUUUGGCUUGUGCAUAUUGUGGGUUUCCUGUGUUGCAUACCUAGUUGAUGGAAAAGUGUGGGUUUUACGAUUUUCAUUUUCGUCUUGCGUCGUUCUUUUGGCGUGGGAUGAACAAUGAAGCGAUCUUUAUGAUCCAUCGUGCUGUUGCGUUUGCAACAAUGAUGUGGCCUAUGAAGCAUCGUUUGGUCUCUUGUAUACGGAAGCUCAUUUGGGCUUGGGUCUUUAUAAGAUCUUCGUUACGCCCUUGUUAAGCGUUCUCGCUUCUCCUAAACGAUUG
rnacentral:misc_RNA from 1 species